rnacentral:lncRNA from 1 species
UAAAGAGGCUCUGUCGCAGACUGGAGCUGGAGCUGGAGCUGAGCUGAGUUGACCCGUUGAGCGAAUUGCGUUUGCAGUGUCCAUGUGUAAGCGUAUAUUGUAUAACAAUAACGAAGCAGUUUUUAAUUUCUUAUGUUCCACCGAUGGGGAAAGUGGGUUUACUAUUAUAGGAGUAUUGUCUAUUGUGAUUGGUUGGGUCUUUUGUGAACUGUUGGCUGGUUUCUUUUCAAGUGAAUAGACUAACAAAACAAACGAUUCAAAGCAAAAUAAUA